UUGCUUCAAAUUCUGAUGGUCAUUUGUCUGUUCCUCAAGGGAAUCCUGCUGCCAACCAUGAACCUGUCUCAAAAACAGAUGGUCAGUCUUCUGUGAUACCUGGGUUGAGCAGUCAACAUUAUGAUCAACUGAUGAAUCUUUUACAACAAACCCAACUAGGGGUUCCAAUGCUCCAAACUCUUCUCCCAUGUGUGCUGUUAAUUUUGCUGGUACUAUGCUAACUGAGAGCCCAGUUUCUGAUUCCAA
rnacentral:lncRNA from 1 species